rnacentral:rRNA from 1 species
UACGGGGGGGGCAAGCGUUGUUCGGAAUUACUGGGCGUAAAGGGCUCGUAGGUGGCCAACUAAGUCAGACGUGAAAUCCCUCGGCUUAACCGGGGAACUGCGUCUGAUACUGGAUGGCUUGAGUUUGGGAGAGGGAUGCGGAAUUCCAGGUGUAGCGGUGAAAUGCGUAGAUAUCCGGAGGAACACCGGUGGCGAAGGCGGCUUCCUGGACCGACACUGACGCUGAGGCGCGAAAGCGUGGGGAGCAAACAGG